AAUAGAUACCCGGUAGUCCACGCCGUAAACGAUGAGUGCUAAGUGUUAGGGGGUUUCCGCCCCUUAGUGCUGCAGCUAACGCAUUAAGCACUCCGCCUGGGGAGUACGGUCGCAAGACUGAAACUCAAAGGAAUUGACGGGGGCCCGCACAAGCGGUGGAGCAUGUGGUUUAAUUCGAAGCAACGCGAAGAACCUUACCAGGUCUUGACAUCCCAUUGACCGCUAUGGAGACAUGGCUUUCCCUUCGGGGACAGUGGUGACAGGUGGUGCAUGGUUGUCGUCAGCUCGUGUCGUGAGAUGUUGGGUUAAGUCCCGCAACGAGCGCAACCCUUGUUCUUAGUUGCCAUCAUUUAGUUGGGCACUCUAAGGAGACUGCCGGUGACAAACCGGAGGAAGGUGGGGAUGACGUCAAAUCAUCAUGCCCCUUAUGACCUGGGCUACACACGUGCUACAAUGGACGGUACAAACGGUUGCCAACCCGCGAGGGGGAGCUAAUCCGAUAAAACCGUUCUCAGUUCGGAUUGUAGGCUGCAACUCG
rnacentral:rRNA from 1 species